rnacentral:rRNA from 1 species
UACGUAGGGUGCAAGCGUUGUCCGGAAUUAUUGGGCGUAAAGAGCGUGUAGGCGGCCCGAUUAGUCCGCUGUGAAAGUCCAGGGCUCAACCCUGGAAUGCCGGUGGAUACUGUCGGGCUAGAGUCCGGAAGGGGCGAGUGGAAUUCCUGGUGUAGCGGUGGAAUGCGCAGAUAUCAGGAAGAACACCAACGGCGAAGGCAGCUCGCUGGGACGGUACUGACGCUGAGACGCGAAAGCGUGGGGAGCGAACAGG